GGCUCAGGAUGAACGCUGGCGGCGUGCCUAACACAUGCAAGUCGAACGGAAGCUUAACGCUGACGAGACUUCGGUCAAAUCUUGUUAAGCUUUAGUGGCGGACGGGUGAGUAACGCGUGGGCAACCUGCCUCAUACUGGGGGAUAACAGUUGGAAACGACUGUUAAUACCGCAUAAGCGCACUAAAGUCGCAUGACUCAGUGUGAAAAACUCCGGUGGUAUGAGAUGGGCCCGCGUCAGAUUAGCUAGUUGGUGGGGUAAAGGCCUACCAAGGCGACGAUCUGUAGCCGGACUGAGAGGUCGGACGGCCACAUUGGGACUGAGACACGGCCCAAACUCCUACGGGAGGCAGCAGUGGGGGAUAUUGCACAAUGGAGGAAACUCUGAUGCAGCGACGCCGCGUGAGUGAAGAAGUAUUUCGGUAUGUAAAGCUCUAUCAGCAGGGAAGAAAGGCUCGAAAGAGAGAUGACGGUACCUGACUAAGAAGCCCCGGCUAACUACGUGCCAGCCGCGGC
rnacentral:rRNA from 1 species